rnacentral:rRNA from 1 species
UACGUAGGGUGCGAGCGUUAAUCGGAAUUACUGGGCGUAAAGCGUGCGCAGGCGGUUUUGUAAGCCAGAUGUGAAAUCCCCGGGCUUAACCUGGGAAUGGCAUUUGGGACUGCAAGGCUGGAGUUUGGCAGAGGAGACUGGAAUUCCUGGUGUAGCAGUGAAAUGCGUAGAUAUCAGGAGGAAUACCGAUGGCGGAAGGCAGGUCUCUGGGCUAUAACUGACGCUCAUGCACGAAAGGCGUGGGGAGCAAACGAGG